rnacentral:rRNA from 1 species
GUGGGGAAUCUUCCGCAAUGGACGAAAGUCUGACGGAGCAACGCCGCGUGAGUGAUGAAGGCCUUCGGGUUGUAAAACUCUGUUGUCAGGGACGAACGUGCCGAUCUACAAUACAUUUCGGCAGUGACGGUACCUGACGAGGAAGCCACGGCUAACUACGUGCCAGCAGCCGCGGUAAUACGUAGGUGGCAAGCGUUGUCCGGAAUUAUUGGGCGUAAAGAGCAUGUAGGCGGGCUUUUAAGUCCGACGUGAAAAUGCGGGGCUUAACCCCGUAUGGCGUUGGAUACUGGAAGUCUUGAGUGCAGGAGAGGAAAGGGGAAUUCCCAGUGUAGCGGUGAAAUGCGUAGAUAUUGGGAGGAACACCAGUGGCGAAGGCGCCUUUCUGGACUGUGUCUGACGCUGAGAUGCGAAAGCCAGGGUAGCAAACGGGAUUAGAAACCCGAGUAGUCC